rnacentral:rRNA from 1 species
AGAGUUUGAUCCUGGCUCAGAUUGAACGCUGGCGGCAUGCCUUACACAUGCAAGUCGAACGGUAACAGGUCUUCGGACGCUGACGAGUGGCGAACGGGUGAGUAAUACAUCGGAACGUGCCCAGUCGUGGGGGAUAACUACUCGAAAGAGUAGCUAAUACCGCAUACGAUCUGAGGAUGAAAGCGGGGGACCUUCGGGCCUCGCGCGAUUGGAGCGGCCGAUGGCAGAUUAGGUAGUUGGUGGGAUAAAAGCUUACCAAGCCGACGAUCUGUAGCUGGUCUGAGAGGACGACCAGCCACACUGGGACUGAGACACGGCCCAGACUCCUACGGGAGGCAGCAGUGGGGAAUUUUGGACAAUGGGCGAAAGCCUGAUCCAGCAAUGCCGCGUGCAGGAUGAAGGCCUUCGGGUUGUAAACUGCUCUUGUACGGAACGAAAAAGCUUCUCCUAAUACGAGAGGCCCAUGACGGUACCGUAAGAAUAAGCACCGGCUAACUACGUGCCAGCAGCCGCGGUAAU